AUUGAACGCUGGCGGCAGGCUUAACACAUGCAAGUCGAGCGGAGAUGAGGUGCUUGCACCUUAUCUUAGCGGCGGACGGGUGAGUAAUGCUUAGGAAUCUGCCUAUUAGUGGGGGACAACAUUCCGAAAGGAAUGCUAAUACCGCAUACGUUCUACGGGAGAAAGCAGGGGAUCUUCGGACCUUGCGCUAAUAGAUGAGCCUAAGUCGGAUUAGCUAGUUGGUGGGGUAAAGGCCUACCAAGGCGACGAUCUGUAGCGGGUCUGAGAGGAUGAUCCGCCACACUGGGACUGAGACACGGCCCAGACUCCUACGGGAGGCAGCAGUGGGGAAUAUUGGACAAUGGGGGAAACCCUGAUCCAGCCAUGCCGCGUGUGUGAAGAAGGCCUUAUGGUUGUAAAGCACUUUAAGCGAGGAGGAGGCUACUGAGACUAAUACUCUUGGAUAGUGGACGUUACUCGCAGGAUAAGCACUGGCUAACUCUGUGCCAGCAGCCGCCGUAA
rnacentral:rRNA from 1 species